GGCUCAGGACGAACGCUGGCGGCGUGCCUAAUACAUGCAAGUCGAGCGGAAAUUUAUUGGUGCUUGCACCUUAAAUUUAGCGGCGGACGGGUGAGUAACACGUGGGUAACCUACCUUAUAGAUUGGGAUAACUCCGGGAAACCGGGGCUAAUACCGAAUAAUACUUUUUAACACAUGUUUGAAAGUUGAAAGACGGUUUCGGCUGUCACUAUAAGAUGGACCCGCGGCGCAUUAGCUAGUUGGUGAGGUAACGGCUCACCAAGGCAACGAUGCGUAGCCGACCUGAGAGGGUGAUCGGCCACACUGGGACUGAGACACGGCCCAGACUCCUACGGGAGGCAGCAGUAGGGAAUCUUCCACAAUGGACGAAAGUCUGAUGGAGCAACGCCGCGUGAGUGAAGAAGGAUUUCGGUUCGUAAAACUCUGUUGCAAGGGAAGAACAAGUAGCGUAGUAACUGGCGCUACCUUGACGGUACCUUGUUAGAAAGCCACGGCUAACUACGUGCCAGCAGCCGC
rnacentral:rRNA from 1 species